rnacentral:rRNA from 1 species
GAUGAACGCUGGCGGCGUGCCUAAUACAUGCAAGUCGAGCGAACAGACGAGGAGCUUGCUCCUCUGACGUUAGCGGCGGACGGGUGAGUAACACGUGGAUAACCUACCUAUAAGACUGGGAUAACUUCGGGAAACCGGAGCUAAUACCGGAUAAUAUAUUGAACCGCAUGGUUCAAUAGUGAAAGACGGUUUUGCUGUCACUUAUAGAUGGAUCCGCGCCGCAUUAGCUAGUUGGUAAGGUAACGGCUUAUCAAGGCAACGAUGCGUAGCCGACCUGAGAGGGUGAUCGGCCACACCGGAGCUGAGACACGGUCCAGACUCCUACGGGAGGCAGCAGUAGGGAAUCUUCCGCAAUGGGCGAAAGCUUGACGGAGCAACGCCGCGUGAGUGAUGAAGGUCUUCGGAUCGUAAAACUCUGUUAUUAGGGAAGAACAAAUGUGUAAGUAACUAUGCACGUCUUGACGGUACCUAAUCAGAAAGCCACGGCUAACUACGUG